CCUACGGGUGGCAGCAGUGGGGAAUAUUGCGCAAUGGGCGAAAGCCUGACGCAGCGACGCCGCGUGAGGGAUGAAGGUCUUCGGAUCGUAAACCUCUGUCAGCAGGGAAGAACGGUCACUGUGCUAAUCAGCAGUGAAUUGACGGUACCUGCAAAGGAAGCACCGGCUAACUCCGUGCCAGCAGCCGCGGUAAUACGGAGGGUGCGAGCGUUAAUCGGAAUUACUGGGCGUAAAGCGCUCGUAGGCGGUAUGUCAAGUCAAGGGUGAAAUCCCCGCGCUCAACGUGGGAACUGCCUUUGAAACUGGCAAGCUGGAGUGGUGGAGAGGGAAGUGGAAGUCCUAGUGGAGGGGUGAAAUGCGUAGAGAUUAGGAGGAACAUCAGUGGCGAAGGCGGCUGACUGGAACAUAACUGACGCUGAGGAGCGAAAGCGUGGGGAGCAAACAGGAUUAGAUACCCGAGUAGUC
rnacentral:rRNA from 1 species